GGUUACUGACCAAGAGCAAAUCUAAGAUUAUUUUCUAAGAAGUUGCCGUUCAUGAAAAGCAACAUUAAGCUUCAAUAGGAAAAGGAAAAAUGAAGUAUUUGAUUGGCUUCUUAUCUAUUUUCUUAUUUGCAUCUUCAUUAGUUCAAGCUCAAAUACUUUCUCAAUGGACAGCAUUCAGUGACUGCCCAGUUACAUGCAAUGUUGGUAAUCAGGUCCGAACACGCACACGAACUUGUACACCUGCAAAUUUAUGUCAAGGAGUUAGUCUAUUUGAAACUACUCCCUGUAACACACAAUAUCCAUGUCCAGGU
rnacentral:lncRNA from 1 species